GGCCUUGUAGUUCAAGGGAUAGAACGACAGUUUCCUAAACUGUAGAUUCCAGUUCGAGUCUGGGCAAGGCUA
rnacentral:tRNA from 1 species